AGUGGGGGAUAACGUAGCGAAAGUUACGCUAAUACCGCAUAUGCCCUGAGGGGGAGAGGAGGGGAUCGCAAGACCUUUCGCUUUCGGAGUGGCCGAUAUCGGAUUAGCUAGUAGGUGAGGUAAAGGCUCACCUAGGCGACGAUCCGUAGCUGGUCUGAGAGGACGACCAGCCACACUGGGACUGAGACACGGCCCAGACUCCUACGGGAGGCAGCAGUGGGGAAUUUUGGACAAUGGGCGCAAGCCUGAUCCAGCCAUGCCGCGUGAGUGAAGAAGGCCUUCGGGUUGUAAAGCUCUUUCGGACAGAAAGAAAUCCUAUCCGCUAAUACCGGGUGGGGAUGACGGUACUGUAAGAAGAAGCACCGGCUAACUACGUGCCAGCAGCCGCGGUAAUACGUAGGGUGCGAGCGUUAAUCGGAAUUACUGGGCGUAAAGCGUGCGCAGGCGGUUUGGUAAGACAGACGUGAAAUCCCCGGGCUUAACCUGGGAACUGCGUUUGUGACUGCCAGACUAGAGUGUAGCAGAGGGGGGUAGAAUUCCA
rnacentral:rRNA from 1 species